rnacentral:rRNA from 1 species
UUCCUACGGGGCGCAGCAGUAGGGAAUCUUCGGCAAUGGGGGCAACCCUGACCGAGCAACGCCGCGUGAGUGAAGAAGGUUUUCGGAUCGUAAAGCUCUGUUGUAAGAGAAGAACGUGUGUGAGAGUGGAAAGUUCACACAGUGACGGUAACUUACCAGAAAGGGACGGCUAACUACGUGCCAGCAGCCGCGGUAAUACGUAGGUCCCGAGCGUUAUCCGGAUUUAUUGGGCGUAAAGCGAGCGCAGGCGGUUGGGUAAGGCCGAAGUUAAAGGCUGUGGCUCAACACUAGUAUGCUUUGGGAAA